UGUAGUGUAGCAUAGUGGUUUGAGUGUUGGACUACAACUCUGGAGACCUGGGUUCAAUUCCUGGUUUGGCUA